AGUGCAUCGAAUGGGCCAAAUCAGA
rnacentral:piRNA from 1 species